CUACGGGCUGCAGCAGUGGGGAAUAUUGCACAAUGGAGGAAACUCUGAUGCAGCAACGCCGCGUGGAGGAUGACACUUUUCGGAGCGUAAACUCCUUUUAUAUAGGAAGAAGAUGACGGUACUAUAUGAAUAAGCACCGGCUAACUCCGUGCCAGCAGCCGCGGUAAUACGGAGGGUGCAAGCGUUACUCGGAAUCACUGGGCGUAAAGGACGCGUAGGCGGGUUGGAAAGUCAGGUGUGAAAUCCUACAGCUUAACUGUAGAACUGCACUUGAAACUUCUAAUCUAGAGUAUGGGAGGGGGAGAUGGAAUUAGUGGUGUAGGGGUAAAAUCCGUAGAGAUCAGAAGGAGUACCGAUUGCGAAGGCGAUCUACUAGAACAUUAUUGACGCUGAGACGCGAAAGCGUGGGGAGCAAACAGGAUUAGAUACCCCGGUAGUC
rnacentral:rRNA from 1 species